AGAGUUUGAUCAUGGCUCAGGAUGAACGCUAGCGGCAGGCCUAACACAUGCAAGUCGAGGGGUAGAGGUUGCUUGCAACCUUGAGACCGGCGCACGGGUGCGUAACGCGUAUGCAACCUACCUUUUACAGGGGGAUAGCCCAGAGAAAUUUGGAUUAAUACCCCAUAGUAUUAUUUGAUGGCCUCAUCAGAUGAUUAAAGUUACAACGGUAAAAGAUGGGCAUGCGUCCUAUUAGCUAGAUGGAGUGGUAACGGCACCCCAUGGCGACGAUAGGUAGGGGUCCUGAGAGGGAGAUCCCCCACACUGGUACUGAGACACGGACCAGACUCCUACGGGAGGCAGCAGUGAGGAAUAUUGGACAAUGGUCGCAAGACUGAUCCAGCCAUGCCGCGUGCAGGAAGACGGCCCUAUGGGUUGUAAACUGCUUUUGUACGGGAAGAAUAAGGACUACGUGUAGUCUGAUGACGGUACCGUACGAAUAAGGAUCGGCUAACUCCGUGCCAGCAGCCGCGGUAAUACGGAGGAUCCAAGCGUUAUCCGGAAUCAUUGGGUUUAAAGGGGUCCGUAGGCGGGCUGAUAAGUCAGGGGUGAAAGUUUGCCGCUCAACGGUAAAAUUGCCUUUGAUACUGUCAGUCUUGAAUAACUGUGAAGUGGUUAGAAUAUGUAGUGUAGCGGUGAAAUGCAUAGAUAUUACAUAGAAUACCGAUUGCGAAGGCAGAUCACUAACAGUUCAUUGACGCUGAUGGACGAAAGCGUGGGGAGCGAACAGGAUUAGAUACCCUAGUAGUCC
rnacentral:rRNA from 1 species